GGAUAGCUCAGCUGGUUAGAGCAUGGUGCUGAGAAUGCCAAGGUUGCAAGUUCGAUUCCCACAAAGGACAGCUGCA
rnacentral:tRNA from 1 species